rnacentral:rRNA from 1 species
CCUACGGGUGGCAGCAGUGGGGGAUAUUGCACAAUGGGGGAAACCCUGAUGCAGCAACGCCGCGUGAGUGAAGAAGUAUUUCGGUAUGUAAAGCUCUAUCAGCAGGGAAGAGAAUGACGGUACCUGACUAAGAAGCCCCGGCUAACUACGUGCCAGCAGUCGCGGUAAUACGUAGGGGGCGAGCGUUAUCCGGAUUUACUGGGUGUAAAGUGUGCGUAGGCGGGUUGACAAGUCUGAAGUGAAAGCCCGGGGCUUAACCACAGAACGGCUUUUGAAACUGAGCAGCUAGAGUGCGGGAGAGGGAAGUGGAAUUCCUGGUGUAGGGGUAAAAUGCGUAGAUAUUAGGAGGAACACCAGUGGCGAAGGCGGCUUACUGGACAAUAACUGACGUUGAGGCACGAAAGCGUGGGGAGCAAACAGGAUUAGAUACCCCAGUAGUC